UAGGGAAUCUUCCGCAAUGGGCGCAAGCCUGACGGAGCAACGCCGCGUGUGUGAAGAAGGUCUUCGGAUCGUAAAGCACUGUUGUUAGAGAAGAACGACCGCUAGAGUAACUGUUAGCGGAGUGACGGUAUCUAACCAGAAAGCCACGGCUAACUACGUGCCAGCAGCCGCGGUAAUACGUAGGUGGCAAGCGUUGUCCGGAUUUAUUGGGCGUAAAGGGAGCGCAGGCGGUGACUUAAGUCUGAUGUGAAAGCCCACGGCUCAACCGUGGAGGGUCAUUGGAACCUGGGUCGCUUGAGUGCAGAAGAGGAAAGUGGAAUUCCAGGUGUAGCGGUGAAAUGCGUAGAUAUAUGGAGAAACACCAGUGGCGAAGGCGACUUUCUGGUCUGUAACUAACGCUGAGGCUCGAAAGCGUGGGGAGCAAACAGG
rnacentral:rRNA from 1 species